rnacentral:rRNA from 1 species
AUUGAACGCUGGCGGCAGGCUUAACACAUGCAAGUCGAGCGGGGGAAAGUACUUCGGUACUGACCUUAGCGGCGGACGGGUGAGUAAACUUAGGAAUCUGCCUAUUAGUGGGGGACAACAUCUCGAAAGGGAUGCUAAUACCGCAUACGUCCUACGGGAGAAAGCAGGGGAUCUUUAUGACCUUGCGCUAAUAGAUGAGCCUAAGUCGAAUUAGCUAGUUGGUGGGGUAAAGGCCUACCAAGGCGACGAUCUGCAGCGGGUCUGAGAGGAUGAUCCGCCACACUGGGACUGAGACACGGCCCAGACUCCUACGGGAGGCAGCAGUGGGGAAUAUUGGACAAUGGGGGGAACCCUGAUCCAGCCAUGCCGCGUGUGUGAAGAAGGCCUUAUGGUUGUAAAGCACUUUAGGCGAGGAGGAGGCUCUUUUGGUUAUACCCAAGAUGAGUGGACGUUACUCGCAGAAUAAGCACCGGCUAACUCUGUGCCAGCCGCCGCAGUAA